rnacentral:rRNA from 1 species
AUUGAACGCUGGCGGCAGGCCCAACACAUGCAAGUCGAGCGGCAGCGGGAAAGUAGCUUGCUACUUUUGCCGGCGAGCGGCGGACGGGUGAGUAAUGCCUGGGAAAUUGCCCAGUCGAGGGGGAUAACAGUUGGAAACGACUGCUAAUACCGCAUACGCCCUACGGGGGAAAGCAGGGGACCUUCGGGCCUUGCGCGGUUGGAUAUGCCCGGGUGGGAUUAGCUAGUUGGUGAGGUAAUGGCUCACCAAGGCGACGAUCCCUAGCUGGUCUGAGAGGAUGAUCAGCCACACUGGAACUGAGACACGGUCCAGACUCCUACGGGAGGCAGCAGUGGGGAAUAUUGCACAAUGGGGGAAACCCUGAGGCAGCCAUGCCGCGUGUGUGAAGAAGGCCUUCGGGUUGUAAAGCACUUUCAGCGAGGAGGAAAGGUUGAUGCCUAAUACGUAUCAACUGUGACGUUACUCGCAGAAGAAGCACCGGCUAACUCCGUGCCAGCAGCCGCCGUAACAC